rnacentral:lncRNA from 10 species
AUUUAACUGACCCGUACCAAACUGACCAGCCACUCUGAACUGGGUGCCCUGACCCAGGUAAUCUUUAAUGAGUAAUAGACUUAUUAUCUUCAUUUACAGAUAAGGAAACUGAGGCACUGAGAGGCUGAAUAGCUUGUCCAAGUCAGUGGAUGAGCCAAGAUUUACAACCUGGCAGACUGCUGUAGUCUAUGAACUUACCUUCUUCCCUCCACACCCCAGAUACUCCAGUUUCCUUGGAUCUUGUAGUUAACAUGACUUCAAAGGCACUAGGGCUUCAAAGUGGCAUUUAAAUUUAAGAAUAGUCAAAGGUCUCUGUGGAGAUAAAUGAGAUAAAAUACAAAGGCAUCCUGAAAAAUGGUGGUACCUGCUCAAGUAAUAUUAGCUACUAUCCCUAUUUGAGCAAGAACAUUGUAAUGGCACCUAGAAAAAUGUUUUGUCGUCAAAUCACUGAGGUCAGCCAAUAAGGUAUCUUUUGGGCCUGAAAAGUUCUUGUCAUGACUCUCAUGAAUUGCAGAAAAGUAUACCCUCUUUGGUCAGAGUGCCUGGAUUUAAAUCCUGUAUCUGCCACUUACUAGCUUGUGAUUCUGGGCAAGUUGCUUAAUGUCUCUGUAUUUCUGUUUGCUCACUUAUAUAAUUUGUGUAAUAAUAGUACU